rnacentral:rRNA from 1 species
CCGUCAAUUUCUUUAAGUUUCCUACGGGAGGCAGCAGUAGGGAAUCUUCCGCAAUGGACGAAAGUCUGACGGAGCAACGCCGCGUGAGUGAUGAAGGCUUUCGGGUCGUAAAACUCUGUUGUUAGGGAAGAACAAGUGCUAGUUGAAUAAGCUGGCACCUUGACGGUAUCUAACCAGAAAGCCGCGCCGAAAUUCGUGUCAGCAGCCGCGGUAAUACGUAGGUGGCAAGCGUUAUCCGGAAUUAUAGGGAGUAAAGCGCGCGCAGGUGGUUUCUUAAGUCUGAUGUGAACAAUCACGGCUCACGCGUGGAGGGUCAUUGGAAACUGGGAGACUUGGGUGCAGAAGAGGAAAGUGGAAUUCCAUGUGUAGCGGUGAAAUGCGUAGAGAUAUGGAGGAACCCCAGUGGCGAAGGCGUCUUUAUGGUCGGUAUUUGGCUUUGGGGCGGGAAAGCGUGCGGAGCAAUCAGGUUGAGAUUGCUCGGUAGUACCCACAGUAAACGAUGAGUGCUAAGUGUUAGAGGGUUCCGCCCUUUAGUGCUGAAGUUAACGCAUUCAUCCCGAAGCCUGCGAUUCGCCCCGC